rnacentral:rRNA from 1 species
UACAGAGGGUGCAAGCGUUAAUCGGAAUUACUGGGCGUAAAGCGUGCGUAGACGGUUACAUAAGUCGGGUGUGAAAGCCCCGGGCUCAACCUGGGAAUUGCAUUCGAGACUGCGUAGCUAGGGUGCGGAAGAGGGAAGCGGAAUUUCCGGUGUAGCGGUGAAAUGCGUAGAUAUUGGGAGGAACACCAGUGGCGAAGGCGGCUCACUGGACCGGUUCUGACGCUGAGGCGCGAAAGCGUGGGGAGCAAACGGG